rnacentral:rRNA from 1 species
CUGCGUGGCCUUUGUGGUUGUGUGGUGAGAGUGGCGAACGGGUGAGUAACACGUGAGUAACCUGCCUUUUUCUUUGGGAUAACGCUCAGAAAUGGGUGCUAAUACUGGAUGUUCUGCGCUUUCCGCAUGGGGGGUGUGGGAAAGGGGCCUUUGUGGUUUCUGGAGGGAGAUGGGCUCGCGGCUUAUCAGCUUGUUGGUGGGGUGAUGGCUUACCAAGGCUUUGACGGGUAGCCGGCCUGAGAGGGUGGGCGGUCACAUUGGGACUGAGAUACGGCCCAGACUCCUACGGGAGGCAGCAGUGGGGAAUUUUGCACAAUGGGGGGAACCUUGAUGCAGCGACGCCGCGUGAGGGAUGGAGGCCUUCGGGUUGUGAACCUCUUUCGCUCGUGUGCAAGCCGCUAUUUGGGUAGUGGUGAGUGUAGCGGGUAAAGAAGCGCCGGCUAACUACGUGCCAGCAGCCGCGGUAAUACGUAGGGCGCGAGCGUUGUCCGGAUUUAUUGGGCGUAAAGGGCUUGUAGGCGGUUUGUCGCGCCUGUCGUGUAAUCCUCUGGCUUAACUGGGGGUGUGCGGUGGGUACGGGCAGGCUUGAGUGCGGUAGGGGAGAUUGGAAUUCCUGGUGUAGCGGUGGAAUGCGCAGAUAUCAGGAGGAACACCGGUGGCGAAGGCGGGUCUCUGGGCCGUUACUGACGCUGAGGAGCGAAAGCGUGNGGAGCGAACAGG